GUGCCAGCAGCCGCGGUAAUACAGAGGUCCCGAGCGUUGUUCGGAUUCACUGGGCGUAAAGGGUGCGUAGGUGGUCGGGUAAGUCCGAGGUGAAAUCUCCAAGCUUAACUUGGAAACUGCCUUGGAUACUAUUCGGCUGGAGGGUUGGAGGGGGGACUGGAAUACUUGGUGUAGCAGUGAAAUGCGUAGAUAUCAAGUGGAACACCAGUGGCGAAGGCGAGUCCCUGGACAACUCCUGACACUGAGGCACGAAAGCUAGGGGAGCAAACAGGAUUAGAUACCCUGGUAGUCC
rnacentral:rRNA from 1 species